UAAGGAAUAUUGGUCAAUGGACGCAAGUCUGAACCAGCCAUGCCGCGUGAAGGAUGAAGGUCCUCUGGAUUGUAAACUUCUUUUAUCUGGGACGAAAACGGGAUUUUUAUCUCAAUUGACGGUACCAGAGGAAUAAGCACCGGCUGACUCCGUGCCAGCAGCCGCGGUAAUACGGAGGGUGCGAGCGUUAUCCGGAUUUACUGGGUUUAAAGGGUGCGUAGGUGGGCUUAUAAGUCAGUGGUGAAAUCUCCGAGCUUAACUUGGAAACUGCCGUUGAUACUAUAGGUCUUGAAUUAUCUGGAGGUAAGCGGAAUAUGUCAUGUAGCGGUGAAAUGCUUAGAUAUGACAUAGAACACCAAUUGCGAAGGCAGCUUACUACAUAUAAAUUGACGCUGAGGCACGAAAGCGUUGGGAUCAAACA
rnacentral:rRNA from 1 species